UACAGAGGUCGCAAGCGUUGUUCGGAAUCAUUGGGCGUAAAGGGCGCGUAGGCGGCGCGGUAAGUCGGGUGUGAAAUCUCGGAGCUUAACUUCGAGACUGCAUUCGAUACUGCCGUGCUUGAGGACUGGAGAGGAGACUGGAAUUUACGGUGUAGCGGUGAAAUGCGUAGAUAUCGUAAGGAAGACCAGUGGCGAAGGCGGGUCUCUGGACAGUUCCUGACGCUGAGGCACGAAGGCCAGGGGAGCAAACGGG
rnacentral:rRNA from 1 species